UCACAUUUCUGUAGCACUUUA
rnacentral:miRNA from 1 species